rnacentral:lncRNA from 1 species
AAAUAAUCAAAAGUUCUUGUGUAAGAAUUAAAGCAGAUAGCUUUCCUAGUGAUAUUACAACACAUCAAACUAUAAUACAAUAUUGUGACUUUCACUUUUCAGUGUGACAACGAAUUACAAGUGGAACAACACAUAGAACUGACUGUUUUUUUCACUAUUUCACAGAACUGGGAUGGCCGAGGAUUUGAUAAUGGGAUGUGAAUCAUCCCUUUGUCCAGCGUGUUCACGAUGUCUAUGUUGCCUGUCCAUUAGUCACUUCAUCAUUGUCCGGGUUGUCAGACUGACUUCACAUUAUUGUAGUGAUUGUGAUUCUAUGGAGAAAGACUCUUAUUGGACAGCUCUCCUUUUUGAGCAAGGUUUUCAAUCUAUAAACUGGCUGCCAGUGGAUGAAGUACCCUCUCCCUCUCCCUGUCCAAUGUGUGAGGCCAGAGGUGAAGCAGGAUCUUCUGUACUGUACAUGGUGCUAAAGACUGCUCACUAGUAGGUAUUGUGUUGUGAGCUAAGUGACUCUCUAUAUGAUACUUUUGAACAUUUAUGGAAAAAUAAGGAAUAUAAUGAUGGUGGUUGGUUGCUCCUAAUGUUACUGGAUGUGUGGCAGAAAAAAAAGAAAUGAGUUCAGUUCAGGGAGUUGAAUUCCCAGGUGAAGAAUCACGAAUGACCUAAGAGCUUCCAGGUGUGCCCCGAAGGACAACCUUAUCUCCAAUAGUUACCGGGCUGAAAACGCUGAAAGCUGAAUGCAGAACCUCAUCUGAUGAUUGGCUAAAUUACAGCACAAGUUGAAAUCCCAGCCUCCCAAGGUGUCUACUGUUAAAGUGAGGGCAUUGAUUGGGAAAGAAUGGGAUCCUGUAAUUUGAGUUGGGGCCAAGUGGGAAGACCCUGAUGAACCUGGAGAUACUGAGCCCCUAAAUUCUGAUGAACCUUCUUUGCCAGAGGGAGAUAUCUCCCCAGCUCCAGUAGAAGAGGCCUCCCCAGCCCUACUGACAGCAGCCUCCCCAGUGUCAGUGGCAUUGGCCUGUCCACCUCUGUCGGAGGGGUUUAACCCUGCAUUGCUUGAGGAAAUGGUAAGGGCCUCCCCUGAGAGAACUGCCAUGCAAGACAAUUCUGAUUCUCCACAGGACUCACCAUGACCACUCCUCUUUGCCUCUAGACCUAUGACUGGACUCAAGUCCCAGCAGGGCCCUAAAGGUGAGGUACAAAGUAUGACCCGUAACAGGGUGCACUGAAUUCCAAAAGAACUACUUGGGGUUAUUAGUUCAUAUAAGCAGAAAUCCAGGAAACGUGAAUGGGAAUUAUGGAUGUGGAACAUGUGUGGGAAUUAAGGGUGUGGAACUAAGGGUGGAAUUAAGUGGUAGAAGGAACAUAAAAUUGGAUCAGGCUGAAUUUAUUGAUCUGGGCUCAGCAAGCAGAGAUUCUGCAUUCAGUGUUGUGGCUUGGCAGAAAGGGCUCUAACUGGUUGCAUGAAGCAAAGAUGAAAAGAUGG